rnacentral:rRNA from 1 species
AGUGAAUAGAUACCCUGGUAGUCCCAGCCGUAAACGAUGCUCGCUAGGUGUCAGGCAUGGCGCGACCGUGUCUGGUGCCGCAGGGAAGCCGUGAAGCGAGCCACCUGGGAAGUACGGCCGCAAGGCUGAAACUUAAAGGAAUUGGCGGGGGAGCACAACAACGGGUGGAGCCUGCGGUUUAAUUGGACUCAACGCCGGACAACUCACCGGGGGCGACAGCAAUAUGUAGGCCAAGCUGAAGACUUUGCCUGAAUCGCUGAGAGGAGGUGCAUGGCCGUCGCCAGUUCGUACUGUGAAGCAUCCUGUUAAGUCAGGCAACGAGCGAGACCCGUGCCCACUGUUACCAGCAUGUCCUCCGGGACGAUGGGUACUCUGUGGGGACCGCCGAUGUUAAAUCGGAGGAAGGUGCGGGCCACGGUAGGUCAGUAUGCCCCGAAUCUCCCGGGCUACACGCGGGCUACAAUGGAUGGGACAAUGGGUCCUCCCCUGAAAAGGGCUGGUAAUCUCACAAACCCAUUCGUAGUUCGGAUCGAGGGCU